CCUUCACACGAGAAUCAAUUCCAAAAAGGCCCUCAUUAUCGUAAACACUUAGAAACGAUUGAUUUAUUUUCUUGCGAACAUCAAUGACAAUUUUGUCAACUAGUUUAGAUUCAGGCUUAAUAGCUCUUGAAUCCCACCCUGAAAUGUUGGCCGUUCCCUUCAAAGCACGGCUCCAACUCUCCACGUUUUCUUUGAAUUUUUCUUUAUAUUGAGCAAGUGCAUCCCCA
rnacentral:misc_RNA from 1 species